CCCUUAGAUGUUCUGGGCCGCACGCGCUCUACACUGAUGCAUUCAACGAGCCUAUCCUUGACCGACAGGUCCGGGUAAUCUUUGAAUCUGCAUCGUGACGGGGAUAGAUUAUUGCAAUUAUUAAUCUUCAACGAGGAAUGCCUAGUAGGCGCAAGUCAUCAGCUUGCGUCGAUUACGUCCCUGCCCUUUGUACACACCGCCCGUCGCUCCUACCGAUUGGGUGUGCUGGUGAAAUGUUCGGAUCGGCCGUUUGUCGCGGUUUCCGCGGCUCGUGGCUGAGAAGUUCAUUAAACCCUCCCACCUAGAGGAAGGAGAAGUCGUAACA
rnacentral:rRNA from 1 species